GAGGGCAAAUGGCAUCCAAUCAACAAGUUUUAGUUCUGAGGUUCCGAGAUAUGCAACAACUGUUACAGGAACAUCUCAUGAUCCUUGUAUGCAUCUUCCAUCAGGUGGAAGCACAAGUCAACCUACACACCAUUCUGUUCACCACGGAUCUUCCUAUAACCAGCAUACAUUGAGGGAAGGGAGUAGCAUUGGCAAUCCAUUAAUGGACCAUGAAAGAGCAACCUAUAAAAGGAAAAACCCAGGAAGCUCCAUGCCUCCUGACAGAGGAAACAGGAAUGGAUAUUAUAGUGCUGGAAGUUCUUCUCAGUGCUGGCACCCGUAUCAUGUCAGCUUUGUCCACAGUCACAGGAAUGACAAUGCAUCAAGUUCUCAGGAAGGAUCUCAAAGGAAUGUCAGAAGUCGACGUGGUAAUGCCAUUCACCUAGAAGACAUCUCACCUU
rnacentral:lncRNA from 1 species